rnacentral:lncRNA from 1 species
UAUAUGGCACUAUAGAGUGGCAUAUGUUAAUCACAAAAUCGAAAUAUUUCAGCACAAAAACUUUCAAAAAUUUUAGCGAAGGAACUAGUGUAUAUCAUCAUCUGAAAUUCAGUUUCUACUGGCAUAAUCAUGAUUUAGAGAUAGUAUGUGAGUUCACUGCUAGAUUGCAGCUUCAUUACGGAGAUACAGGCAUACCUGAUUUGACUGCCUACCCAGUUUUACCCCACCUUCUCCUAUUACUUUUAAAGUGAUUUUUGCAUAAUUUCCAAAAUUUAAUUCAUAAAUUUGUUAAAUAUCAUUUAAACGUAUAAACCGAAAGAGCACUAACUCUCCCCAGUGAAUAAAUUUUGAAAUGAAACUGU